rnacentral:lncRNA from 1 species
GCUCCUCAAAUGUUCCUCUAGCCUUUAAUAAUCUUAGAGAUUGUUGGAAAAAGAGUUUUGAUUGUUGGAAGUCUUGAAAUAAUCGUUAGAUCUAAAAAUCAGCCAUUAAACAAGUACAGAAGACUAGCCAUUAUUACUGUCCUCAUGCUUGGAGUCGACUAGAUCUACAGACGAGUCGGUUCGAUCUGCAGGCAAGUCGGCUC